GACGAACGCUGGCGGCGUGCUUAACACAUGCAAGUCGAACGGAAAGGCCCUGCUUUUGUGGGGUGCUCGAGUGGCGAACGGGUGAGUAACCCGUGAGUAACCUGCCCUUUACUUUGGGAUAACUUCAGGAAACUGGGGCUAAUACCGGAUAGGAGCUCCUGCUGCAUGGUGGGGGUUGGAAAGUUUCGGCGGUUGGGGAUGGACUCGCGGCUUAUCAGCUUGUUGGUGGGGUAGUGGCUUACCAAGGCUUUGACGGGUAGCCGGCCUGCGAGGGUGACCGGCCACAUUGGGACUGAGAUACGGCCCAGACUCCUACGGGAGGCAGCAGUGGGGAAUAUUGCACAAUGGGCGGAAGCCUGAUGCAGCAACGCCGCGUGCGGGAUGACGGCCUUCGGGUUGUAAACCGCUUUCGCCUGUGACGAAGCGUGAGUGACGGUAAUGGGUAAAGAAGCACCGGCUAACUACGUG
rnacentral:rRNA from 1 species